UUGCUAAACUAGAUAGGUGACUGUUUGUAUCUCCCUCUUGCCUUCACCUCCCCCCAUUUUCAUGACAGUCUUCUCUGUCUGUGUCACCUGGCUUCAGUUAAAAUACAGGAAUAAACAGGAAAAUUACUCAUAGACUGUUUGAGAGUCAUCCCAUCUGUUGCCUACCUGAACCAAGAAUCAAAUCCUAGAGUAGGACUGUGCUGAACCACUUGGUUGGAGAUCUACUGGGAUCCUAGUAUUGGGAGAGACCUAACAAGUCAUGAUUCCUGGGCAGAUGCUUAUUCCUAUCUCUGGCUGCUGACCCUUGGUUUGACUUUCUGGUUCCUGAAUUUUGGCCAUGAACAUUCGGCUCCUUUCCCAGCUCUGGACACGGGCCCUAACCUUUGGGCUGAAUAGCCUGGGCUCCAGUCUGUAAUCCUAGAUGGCCACCAGGUCAUCUGUAGUAGACUGUACUCUAAUUUAUUCAAUAACAAAUGAACUCUAAGAGAUAAGUUUGGGUGUUGGUUUUGGUUUUUUUUUUUAAUUAUGACAUGUGCAGCUAUUUAUUUGCAAACUGGUCUUUUAUCUGUAUUUUACUAGAUUGCUAAAUGUGAACUUCUACUUUCCAUUAGUUAUGAGAUUGUUCUAAUGGCCAUCUUUUCUUUGGGGAGAAUAUCAUCAUAUCUCAGCCAGUGGAGCAGGUGAGCAGAACUGUUAGCAUUUACAAAAAUUUCAAAUUGGUGGCUAUAAGUUGAAUAAAUUACAUCAGAAAAGGCAAUAGUGUCAGAACUUCUAUUUCAUUUCUGUAUCAAAUGUUAUAAAUAUUACUGAUAUACUGUAUGCAUGAUCUACUUUUUCUUAUGGGAGUUCAUAAUGUCAUUCCAACACACAUGACAUAAGAGUGUAAACAGACACUCAAACAUGGUCAGACCUGUAAGAGUGUCAUGACUGAAACUUGAUGAAAAUAUGAGUUAUGAAGUUCACAAAGUAUGAAGAUAAAUUUCCAGAAAGAGGAAGAACUGAAACUUAUAAUGUGUGUUAAAUGUUCAGGUGGAAGAAGGGUCAGAUUGCUUUGGCAGGAGAAUAAAUGGAGAAGGAGUACAAAGCUGAGUUGUAAAAUGAACUUAAUCAGUUACAAGUAAUAUAGAAUAGGCAAUAAUGUGAAGCUGAGUGAAAAGAAAACUGCUUUUAGAUAUCCUAUAUAUGUUACUUUGCUCAUACACAAAGAUGGUAUUGCAUAGACAUUUAUAUACACAUGCUCGACAGAAAAUAAAAGUUACAAAA